rnacentral:lncRNA from 1 species
AUCAGCACUAGCAUCUGUGUGUUCUGACUUUGACAUUUCGUAAGUGCAGUUUUGUUUUCAUUGUGCAGGGUCAAUUUAUUCGUCCUCUGCUACAACUGCCGUGGAGGAGAAGUAGCAGCAGGGACGCCUCCACCGCUGUGAUUUCUGUGACUAUGAAACUGGAAAACUGUUCUGUCUGAAAACACACACCAUGGUCCACACAGCUGCGGGUCCACAUUCUAU